rnacentral:rRNA from 1 species
GACGAACGCUGGCGGCGUGCCUAAUACAUGCAAGUAGAACGCUGAAGAGAGGAGCUUGCUCUUCUUGGGUGAGUUGCGAACGGGUGAGUAACGCGUAGGUAACCUGCCUGGUAGCGGGGGAUAACUAUUGGAAACGAUAGCUAAUACCGCAUAAAAUUGAUUAUUGCAUGAUAAUUAAUUGAAAGAUGCAACUGCAUCACUACCAGAUGGACCUGCGUUGUAUUAGCUAGUUGGUGAGGUAACGGCUCACCAAGGCGACGAUACAUAGCCGACCUGAGAGGGUGAUCGGCCACACUGGGACUGAGACACGGCCCAGACUCCUACGGGAGGCAGCAGUAGGGAAUCUUCGGCAAUGGGGGGAACCCUGACCGAGCAACGCCGCGUGAGUGAAGAAGGUUUUCGGAUCGUAAAGCUCUGUUGUAAGAGAAGAACGGGUGUGAGAGUGGAAAGUUCACACUGUGACGGUAUCUGACCAGAAAGGGACGGCUAACUACGUG